AGAGUGGAAAACAAUUCAUAUUAAAAAAGAUCACAUUCUAUUUCACGAUAAAAUGAAUCAAACAGCAUUCCUUCGAGCUGAAAGUGCUUGAAACUAGUAGAAAAUAAAUUAACUCUCCUAAAACUAUGAAGCUUAAACAUAUCCUUAUUAACUAUGUGAUCAGUAAGGUAUUGAUUCAUCAAUUUAUUAAUCAAUAUCCUUAAUUCUUCCCUCUUUUAGACGGAGUUGGUGGAUGCAUGAAUGGCCAUGGAUGAUAAGGAAAUUUGUGACGAAAACCACCAGCAAGCCUUGGAGGAUGAGCAAAUGGCCAUGGAUGUCGAUGGUACCAUCGAUAAUCAUGAAACCACCACCAAUCUAGUUCCUUAUCAGCUUCGGUAGUAGCAAUUUCAUCAUUUGAGGAUGAAUCAAAUUUCUCAAUUGCCAAACAUAAGUUGACAAGUAGGAAAAUGCAAAUGAGAAAAGCAGCAACACAAUUUUUCUUGGGCAUGGUUGAUAGUAGUUAAGUUUUUAAAACUUUUAGCACUCUAAAGAUGAAAUAUUAAGGUUGUUGGUGUAGUGGGGAUUUUAUA
rnacentral:lncRNA from 1 species